rnacentral:rRNA from 1 species
UACGUAGGGGGCAAGCGUUGUCCGGAGUCAUUGGGCGUAAAGCGCGUGUAGGCGGCUCGAUAAGUCUGCUGUGAAAGUCCAGGGCUCAACCCUGGAAUGCCGGUGGAAACUGUCGAGCUAGAGUCCGGAAGAGGCGAGUGGAAUUCCUGGUGUAGCGGUGAAAUGCGCAGAUAUCAGGAGGAACACCAAUGGCGAAGGCAGCUCGCUGGGACGGUACUGACGCUGAGACGCGAAAGCGUGGGGAGCAAACAGG